CUACCAUGCAGUCGAACGAGAACGGAACUAGCUUGCUAGUUUGUCAGCUAAGUGGCGCACGGGUGAGUAAUGUAUAGCUAACAUGCCCCUUAGAGAGGGAUAACGUCUGGAAACGGACGCUAAUACCUCAUACUCCUUCUAAACAAAAGUUUAGUUGGGAAAUGUUUUUUCGCUAAGGGAUUGGGCUAUAUGGUAUCAGGUAGUUGGUGGGGUAAAAGCCUACCAAGCCAAUGACGCCUAGCUGGUCUGAGAGGAUGAUCAGCCACACUGGAACCGAGACACGGUCCAGACUCCUACGGGAGGCAGCAGUGGGGAAUAUUGCGCAAUGGGGGGAACCCUGACGCAGCAACGCCGCGUGGAGGAUGACGCCCUUCGGGGUGUAAACUCCUUUUCUGAGGGAAGAAGUUUGACGGUACCUCAGGAAUAAGCACCGGCCCAACUCCGUGCCAGCAGCCGCGGUAAUACGGAGGGUGCAAGCGUUACUCGGAAUCACUGGGCGUAAAGGGCGCGUAGGCGGUUUGGAAGUUGGAUGUGAAAUCCCAUGGCUCAACCAUAGAACUGCGUCAAAACUGCCAGACUAGAGUCCGGGAGAGGCAGGUGGAAUUGGUGGUGUAGGGG
rnacentral:rRNA from 1 species